GGGGAAUAUUGCACAAUGGGCGAAAGCCUGAUGCAGCGACGCCGCGUGAGGGAUGAAGGCCUUCGGGUUGUAAACCUCUUUCAGCAGGGAAGAAGCGCAAGUGACGGUACCUGCAGAAGAAGCGCCGGCUAACUACGUGCCAGCAGCCGCGGUAAUACGUAGGGCGCAAGCGUUGUCCGGAAUUAUUGGGCGUAAAGAGCUCGUAGGCGGUUUGUCGCGUCUGGUGUGAAAACUCGAGGCUCAACCUCGAGCUUGCAUCGGGUACGGGCAGACUAGAGUGCGGUAGGGGAGACUGGAAUUCCUGGUGUAGCGGUGGAAUGCGCAGAUAUCAGGAGGAACACCGAUGGCGAAGGCAGGUCUCUGGGCCGUAACUGACGCUGAGGAGCGAAAGCAUGGGGAGCGAAC
rnacentral:rRNA from 1 species